rnacentral:rRNA from 1 species
GACGAACGCUGGCGGCGUGCUAAUACAUGCAAGUAGAACGCUGAAGAGAGGAGCUUGCUCUUCUUGGAUGAGUUGCGAACGGGUGAGUAACGCGUAGGUAACCUGCCUUGUAGCGGGGGAUAACUAUUGGAAACGAUAGCUAAUACCGCAUAACAAUGGAUGACACAUGUCAUUUAUUUGAAAGGGGCAAUUGCUCCACUACAAGAUGGACCUGCGUUGUAUUAGCUAGUAGGUGAGGUAACGGCUCACCUAGGCGACGAUACAUAGCCGACCUGAGAGGGUGAUCGGCCACACUGGGACUGAGACACGGCCCAGACUCCUACGGGAGGCAGCAGUAGGGAAUCUUCGGCAAUGGGGGCAACCCUGACCGAGCAACGCCGCGUGAGUGAAGAAGGUUUUCGGAUCGUAAAGCUCUGUUGUAAGUCAAGAACGAGUGUGAGAGUGGAAAGUUCACACUGUGACGGUAGCUUACCAGAAAGGGACGGCUAACUACGUGCCAGCAGCCGCGGUAAUACGUAGGUCCCGAGCGUUGUCCGGAUUUAUUGGGCGUAAAGCGAGCGCAGGCGGUUUGAUAAGUCUGAAGUUAAAGGCUGUGGCUCAACCAUAGUUCGCUUUGGAAACUGUCAAACUUGAGUGCAGAAGGGGAGAGUGGAAUUCCAUGUGUAGCGGUGAAAUGCGUAGAUAUAUGGAGGAACACCGGUGGCGAAAGCGGCUCUCUGGUCUGUAACUGACGCUGAGAAGCGAAAGCAUGGGGAGCGAACAGG